rnacentral:rRNA from 1 species
UGACCUCGGAUCAGGUAGGAAUACCCGCUGAACUUAAGCAUAUCAAUAAGCGGGAGGAAAA